rnacentral:rRNA from 1 species
UGGGGAAUUUUGGACAAUGGGCGAAAGCCUGAUCCAGCAAUGCCGCGUGUGUGAAGAAGGCCUUCGGGUUGUAAAGCACUUUUGUCCGGAAAGAAAUGGCUCUGGUUAAUACCUGGGGUCGAUGACGUUACCGGAAGAAUAAGGACCGGCUAACUACGUGCCAGCAGCCGCGGUAAUACGUAGGGUCCAAGCGUUAAUCGGGAUUCCUGGGCGUAAAGCGUGCGCAGGCGGUUGUGCAAGACCGAUGUGAAAUCCCCGAGCUUAACUUGGGAAUUGCAUUGGUGACUGCACGGCUAGAGUGUGUCAGAGGGGGGUAGAAUUCCACGUGUAGCAGUGAAAUGCGUAGAGAUGUGGAGGAAUACCGAUGGCGAAAGCAGCCCCCUGGGAUAACACUGACGCUCAUGCACGAAAGCGUGGGGAGCAAACAGG